rnacentral:rRNA from 1 species
AAGCGGUGGAGCAUGUGGUUUAAUUCGACGCAACGCGAAGAACCUUACCUGGGCUUGACAUCCCGAUCGCACCUUAUGGAAACAUAGGGGUCAGUUCGGCUGGAUCGGUGACAGGUGCUGCAUGGCUGUCGUCAGCUCGUGUCGUGAGAUGUUGGGUUAAGUCCCGCAACGAGCGCAACCCUCGACCUUAGUUGCCAGCAUUCAGUUGGGCACUCUAAGGUGACUGCCGGCUAAAAGUCGGAGGAAGGUGGGGAUGACGUCAAAUCAUCAUGCCCCUUAUGACCUGGGCUACACACGUGCUACAAUGGGCGGUACAAAGGGUCGCGAACCCGCGAGGGGGAGCCAAUCCCAAAAAGCCGCUCUCAGUUCGGAUUGCAGGCUGCAACUCGCCUGCAUGAAGCCGGAAUCGCUAGUAAUCGCGGGUCAGCCACACCGCGGUGAAUACGUACUCGGGGCUU